UCUCCCUGCCUAACUGUCUGACUGUUAACAUUGUGCCAUUAGUGAAGAUCAGAAAUGACAUCAUCAUAAACAACAUUAUCCACCACAACAUGACACAUCUGAGAAACAUAGGAAGAAGGAUACCUUUCUAUUAGAUGUUUACAGAAAGAUGCAACUGGUUCACACAUGUAAUGAUUCUAAAUAGUGGAGCCAGCUGUGGAGUUUUUGUUGGAAGAAAAAAAGGUUAAUUAAAAACAAAAGAAAUAGAAAAUGACAGUAACAGAAGGGACAAAAGAACAGCAGCAACAACAAUAAUGAGAAGAGAAAAAUAAAAGCCUUUAUGGGCUUUGACAUCUCCACACUGAACAGAAGAUAUCUGUUCUGAAUUUUCCUUCUUAUAUGGAGAAGUAUCUGCAGAAAGAUGAUAAUUCUGUGACUGGUAAUUCCAGAGUGAAAGAUUAUUCUACACAUUCAAACAUAACCACAAUAACAAA